UAACCUCUAAGUAAAGAAUAGAGAAUAAUCCUAAGCCUUAAGAUCUACCUAAUCUGACGGUAGAUAUAAUUUCGAAUAAAUAGAAAAAAGUAAAAAAAAAAAUACAGAAAUAAUGAGAUUUUGAAUACGGAAGGACAUUUUUGGGUAUUUACCACGAAUGUAAAUCAAGUAGUUCCGAAAAUUACUCUUCCAUUUUCUCUCUGUUUCAACUUCUCUAGUCUAGGGUUUUCCGAACAAUAAAAUCUUUGAUUUCAGAAAUUCUCCAGUGAGAAUGUCGCCAUUUGAAGCAGCCGGACAGCAUCACAUCUCAUACCUUCAUAUUUCCUUCGGUCAGAUUGUUGCUGACCAUAAACCACCACCGCCGCCCUUUCGCCUUGCCUCACCGCCGCCGUCGCACAAGUAUUGGGUCUGGGCCAACGCUGCUACUCCUUCGGCCGAGGACUGAGAGUUGAUGCCGCUCUGUCGUCGGUCCUCCCUCUUCCCUCUUCCAUUCUCCCUCGACUCCGACAACGACUCUGACUCCGACCAUUAAUUAUGUGGUCUUCUCUCUGUAAUUUAAUUGCAACGUGGUGUUUAAGAUGUGAUUUUGCAUGAAGAAAAAGGAAAUAUGACUUGUGUAUAUUCUGAAAUUAAUGAAACCAACAAGAUCAAAUGCAGAUGUAGCGAUCAAAUUGCUCUCAAAGAAGAUCGCGAAUAUAUGAUUGGAACUAUCUCACCAAUGGGUAAGCACUCUGAAGACGUUUUGCAGGCAUGCAAAAAGGCAAAAGUUGGACAUGAUAUAGCUAUUCAUACAAACUCAAAGAGUAGAACGGAUUAAAGUUUAUAAUCAUGUGUUGUCGUGUUAGAUACAAGGUUAUAAAUUGAAUAUUCGUUAUAAAUUCAGUAUAUUGUGUAGUUUAUUCUUAAA